CCAGUAGUGGGAUACGCUUGGAACGGACGCUAAUACCGCAUACGUCUACGGAGAAGCAGGGACCUUCGGGCCUUGCGCUAUCAGAUGAGCCUAGGUCGGAUUAGCUAGUUGGUGAGGUAAUGGCUCACCAAGGCGACGAUCCGUAACUGGUCUGAGAGGAUGAUCAGUCACACUGGAACUGAGACACGGUCCAGACUCCUACGGGAGGCAGCAGUGGGAAUAUUGGACAAUGGGCGAAAGCCUGAUCCAGCCAUGCCGCGUGUGUGAAGAAGGUCUUCGGAUUGUAAAGCACUUUAAGUUGGGAGGAAGGGCAGUAAAUUAAUACUUUGCUGUUCUGACGUUACCGACAGAAUAAGCACCGGCUAACUCUGUGCCAGCAGCCGCGGUAAUACAGAGGGUGCAAGCGUUAAUCGGAAUUACUGGGCGUAAAGCGCGCGUAGGUGGUUCGUUAAGUUGGAUGUGAAAUCCCCGGGCUCAACCUGGGAACUGCAUUCAAAACUGUCGAGCUAGAGUAUGGUAGAGGGUGGUGGAAUUUCCUGUGUAGCGGUGAAAUGCGUAGAUAUAGGAAGGAACACCAGUGGCGAAGGCGACCACCUGGACUGAUACUGACACUGAGGUGCGAAAGCGUGGGGAGCAAAC
rnacentral:rRNA from 1 species